UUACGGCCACAUCAAGUUGAAACACCGUUUUCCGUACGAUCACCAAAGUUAAGCAACGUUGAGCCUGGUCAGUAUCUAUAUGGCUGACGGUUUGAGAAUAGCAAGUACUGUAA